rnacentral:rRNA from 1 species
AUAGGUGUUUUGUGAUCUAAGAUUUUAUUUGUUUAUCAUAAUUAAUUUUAAGAGUAUUUGGCGGUAUUUGGUUAAAUUCUGAGGAACUUGUCAAUUUAAAUUGAUAUUACUCAUUAAAUUUUAUCUAUAAUUGUUUUUAUGUAUUGCUGUUUAAUUUAUUAUUUAUUAUUUAUAAUAAGUAAGAUUAAUUUUUUGUUAAAUAAUUCAAGUCAAAAUGUAGAUUUUUAUAGGGUUUGAUGAGUUACGUUUAUAUUGAGUUGUGAAGCUGUAAAUUUAAUUGAAAUAUUAUUGAGUUGAAGGUAGGAUUAGGGUGUAAAGAGAAAAUAAUUAGUUUUUUUGAUAUUUUUUUGCCGGUAUGU